ACCAUGUUGUUUGGUGCUGGUGGUGGGUGGGGGGAAGGGGCUCCCUUAGGCCAUGUUUGGUUAUGGAGUUACCGGCCGGGAUGGAGCCCAGAACCCCAUGGAUCGCUCCCGCCUGGAAAUUAUCCCUGUCCAUCAGAAAUGCGCGUUCGGUUAAGCCCGACAUGGGCUACUUCCCGGCCUUUCCUCGUCACCCAGGCCUUGGAACUAGGCCCGGUCGCUGCGGGGUGGGAAAUAUCCCGGAGGCACGCAGGCAAUAGGCCGCUCAUGGAUUAGGGCAACAGCCACAAAGGGCACGCCGCAUACGCGUGACAACUGUGGCACGGAGACCGGAUUCCUCACGCCUGCUGGCGUCGAUCUCCUCCGGAGGCUGCUUCUCACCGACUGUUGAUCCAUAUAUUUCAGAUGAGAGAGUAGGAUUAGCUGAGCCUGCAGAAGAAAUACAGACUGUGCCCUCCUCAUGGGAAAAAACUAGACUAUUUAAUAUGCUUUCUAUGCUCACGCCAUUGAGCACAACAUACAAUUUGAACUUGUUUGAACUUGUUGCUUUGAGUUGCUUGUACUGACUUGCCUCUGAAAAAACUUUGCUUUGGUCCGAAGAACACUGAAAAAACUAUGCUUUGGUCUGCUCUGAAUCUAGAUGAUAAUUUCUUCGAUUCUAA